rnacentral:piRNA from 1 species
UCAAAGGAUGUUGUGACAGGUGAAGUGGGU